rnacentral:misc_RNA from 1 species
GAAAUGCGAUAAGUAAUGCGAAUUGCAGAAUCCGUGAGUCAUCGAAUUUUUGAACGCAUAUUGCGCCCUUUGGUAUUCCGAAGGGCAUGCCUGUUCGAGCGUCAUUGCUGCCCUUCAAGCCCGGCUUGUGUGUUGGGUCGUCGUCCCCCCCGGGGGACGGACCCGAAAGGCAGCGGCGGCACCGUGUCCGGUCCUCGAGCGUAUGGGGCUUUGUCACCCGCUCGAUUAGGACCGGCCGGGCGCCCGCCGGCGUCAAACCCCCAAUCUUUCUAAGGUUGACCUCGGAUCAGGUAGGGAUACCCGCUGAACUUAAGC